rnacentral:rRNA from 1 species
CGGGUGCUUGCACCUGGUGGCGAGUGGCGAACGGGUGAGUAAUACAUCGGAACAUGUCCUGUAGUGGGGGAUAGCCCGGCGAAAGCCGGAUUAAUACCGCAUACGAUCUACGGAUGAAAGCGGGGGACCUUCGGGCCUCGCGCUAUAGGGUUGGCCGAUGGCUGAUUAGCUAGUUGGUGGGGUAAAGGCCUACCAAGGCGACGAUCAGUAGCUGGUCUGAGAGGACGACCAGCCACACUGGGACUGAGACACGGCCCAGACUCCUACGGGAGGCAGCAGUGGGGAAUUUUGGACAAUGGGCGAAAGCCUGAUCCAGCAAUGCCGCGUGUGUGAAGAAGGCCUUCGGGUUGUAAAGCACUUUUGUCCGGAAAGAAAUCCUUGGCUCUAAUACAGUCGGGGGAUGACGGUACCGGAAGAAUAAGCACCGGCUAACUACGUGCCAGCAGCCGCGGUAAUACGUAGGGUGCGAGCGUUAAUCGGAAUUACUGGGCGUAAAGCGUGCGCAGGCGGUUUGCUAAGACCGAUGUGAAAUCCCCGGGCUCAACCUGGGAACUGCAUUGGUGACUGGCAGGCUAGAGUAUGGCAGAGGGGGGUAGAAUUCCACGUGUAGCAGUGAAAUGCGUAGAGAUGUGGAGGAAUACCGAUGGCGAAGGCAGCCCCCUGGGCCAAUACUGACGCUCAUGCACGAAAGCGUGGGGAGCAAACAGGAUUAGAUACCCUGGUAGUCCACGCCCUAAACGAUGUCAACUAGUUGUUGGGGAUUCAUUUCCUUAGUAACGUAGCUAACGCGUGAAGUUGACCGCCUGGGGAGUACGGUCGCAAGAUUAAAACUCAAAGGAAUUGACGGGGACCCGCACAAGCGGUGGAUGAUGUGGAUUAAUUCGAUGCAACGUGAAAAACCUUACCUACCCUUGACAUGGUCGGAAUCCCGCUGAGAGGUGGGAUUGCUCAAAAAAAACCGGCCCCAGGUGCUUCAUGGCUGUCCUCACCUCCGGUCGGGAGAUGUUGGGUUAAGUCCCCGACCGAGGCCACCCUUGGCCUUAAUUGCUACGCAAAACCCUCUAAGGGAACUGCCGGUGACAAACCCGAAGAAGGUGGGGG